CAGACUGUGACACUUAUUGGAGAAGGUGUAGUUCUUGAAUCUUUCAGAAUGCAGAUACAACUGUGAGGACCACCCUUCUGAAUUAAGAAUACUAUAUUGAGUCUCAUUAACAAAAACUCAUGACUUCCAAGUGUGAUAACUGCUUAAUGCAAAAUAAAGUGAGCUGAGAUGCUUGUACCUCAUCAAAGGAGCGUGUACAACGAGCUUUUCAGCUGCAAUGCCUAUUGUAAAUCUCUGGAACUCAGCCCGAGUAGGAGAAGUGAAAGAUUAGAAAGGAGAGCUCAUCGAGGGAUGAAUACAACUUUAAAGUCAAAUGCACUGAAUUACUAUCUCUGCCGACUUCAGAGAGAGACUAAACUCGUGGCUAAAUUCUUACAAGGAAA